UACGUAGGGUGCGAGCGUUAAUCGGAAUUACUGGGCGUAAAGCGUGCGCAGGCGGUUUUGUAAGCCAGAUGUGAAAUCCCCGGGCUUAACCUGGGAAUGGCAUUUGGGACUGCAAGGCUUGAGUUUGGCAGAGGAGACUGGAAUUCCUGGUGUAGCAGUGAAAUGCGUAGAUAAUCAGGAGGAAUACCGAUGGCGAAGGCAGGUCGUCUGGGC
rnacentral:rRNA from 1 species